rnacentral:lncRNA from 1 species
UGAGCUUUGGUAUAAAGGGCGAUGAAGGAGAACUCGCCGAGGCCAGCCGAAGCCAGCCUGCUGAAUGCUGCUGUAAUUACACAGUAGCCUGGAGUAGCUCUUCUCAAAUCAAAUUAUGAGCCUGGAUUACCUAAAACUCUCAGGGCACCGUCCAGGUUUUCAUUUGUCUGGAGGUUGCUGUCAGCAAGCAGGUUUUUUUUUUUUCCUUCUCAUUAUUCUUUGCAAGGAUUAUCAAGGCCCCACUUCCGAGGCAGUAUCCCAGAGCUAGGAGACUCUGGGAAGAGGGCCGUUUUCUCACAAGGCUUGUCUCCCUGUGCACUUAUCGCUUACUUUUCAAAAGUAUAAAAGGAACAAAAUGAAAAGAAACUCUUUUUUUCCGUGUUUCAUACUUUUCUAUCAUUUGCAUAUCAAAGUUUAUGUCCAGCUGAGUUUACUCAUG